AGGUUUUGGAACUAGACUACUGCAAUGAAACAACUUUCUCUGUUAGGGAAGUGUCCUGGGCUGUCAAGAAUUAUCAUCAAGAGCAGCAGGUUUUAUAAGAUACAUGGACCUAUUUGGCAUUUACCAGCCCAUGCCGCUAGGAUAGAGGGACAGGGCUGGGCCCCAAGUGUGGGCUUCCCGGAAGAGCCAAGCACCGGCUGCUCAUAUGGGAUGGGUGGGGGUGGUGCAGGUGCCCUGCAUGGGUUCCACUGCCCUAAAGAGGGUACAAAGGCCACACCUCCGUGUGUCUGCCAGGGCUGGGUUCAGAGCCUCCCUGGCUUCCUGGGCACUCUGCCUAUCACACAGCGAUUCCAAUAUGAUCACAUGUUCAGAACAGCCACACUUGUCAAAGCAAGGAGAGAACACUUCAGCAACGUUCAAAAACAUGUCUCCAGGGAUUAAAAAAAAAACACGGAAAGCUUCAUUUUCCUCCCUAGUGGGGAAGUCUUCCUUACUCACAGCCUCUUCCUGAGUUGGUGUCUGUCGUGAAGCAUUCUUUGGAAGCAUAGUAAGCGGAGGGUUUAAUUUACCAUAGUCGUACACAUUUGCACAGAAUCUAAAGUUUGCAGUGCGUUUCAUCAUCUUUAUGUGAAUCUCAUGCAGCUCUUACAGGGAAAACAGGAAGAACUGGCCCCAUUUUCUAAAUGUGGAGACAGGAGGAGGUGAGAUGGCUCGCCUCUGCCCAGCCGACUGGGAAAUGCAGAGCUCAGAGAGACAGCAAGUCAGGAGAUGUUGAUCCAGGGAGCUUUUCACUCUGCCACCCACCCCAUCGAUGGAAGCACCGACAUUAUCAAGGCUGCAUUUAGAUUUCAAAACAAAAGCAAGCAAACAUGCCGGGCUCGUGGUAUGCUGUUGUUUUAACCGAAAUGAUACAGCUGAAAGGGUGAGCAGCCAUCAGUGCUGUGAGCGAAGCGUGAUCACACAUCUUGUAUGUUUAGCAACUCAGGAGGUAGCUGAGCCUGGAAGUGACUUUCCUGCCAAAAACCAGGAACAACCCGGAUGUCCUUCAACAAGGGAAGGGUGACCCAGCCCGUGAUGCAUCCGUCACACUGUGGAUUGCUGCUCAGCAACGAGGAGGCACAGACUCGAUACGGGAGCCAGCCUGGGUGACGCUCCAGAGAACUACCCUGAGUGGAGAAGGGCAGUCCCACCGUGUGAUUCCAUUAUUAUCACAUUCUUGAAAUGACAGAAUUAUAGAAAGGAGAACAGAGGAGUGGCUGCCAGAGUUUAAGGAGGGAAUGGGGAAAGGGGGAAGAGCAGCAUGCGGGAUCCUUGUGACGGAAGCGUUUUGUGUCGUGUGGGUGUCUGUCAGUUUCCUAGCUGUGAUACUGUACCAUUGUCUUGUAAGAUGCUGCCAUCGGUGGAAACUGGGUAAAGCAUAUAGGGGACCUCUCUGUAUGAUUUCUUACAACUGCAUGUGAAUUUACAGUG
rnacentral:lncRNA from 1 species